UACGGGGGGAGCAAGCGUUGUUCGGAUUUACUGGGCGUAAAGGGCGCGUAGGCGGUAGCACAAGUCAGUUGUGAAAUCUCCGGGCUUAACUCGGAAAGGUCAACUGAUACUGUGCGACUAGAGUGCAGAAGGGGCAACUGGAAUUCUCGGUGUAGCGGUGAAAUGCGUAGAUAUCGAGAGGAACACCUGCGGCGAAGGCGGGUUGCUGGGCUGAUACUGACGCUGAGGCGCGAAAGCCAGGGGAGCAAACGGG
rnacentral:rRNA from 1 species